ACAGCAGUAGCCGCGGUAAUACGGAGGGUGCAAGCGUUAUCCGGAUUUAUUGGGUUUAAAGGGUACGUAGGCGGAUCUGUAAGUCAGUGGUGAAAUCUCACAGCUUAACUGUGAAACUGCCAUUGAUACUGCAGGUCUUGAGUAAAUUUGAAGUGGCUGGAAUAAGUAGUGUAGCGGUGAAAUGCAUAGAUAUUACUUAGAACACCAAUUGCGAAGGCAGGUCACUAAGAUUUAACUGACGCUGAUGGACGAAAGCGUGGGGAGCGAACAGGAUUAGAGACCCCUGUAGUCCCUGUCUCUUAUAC
rnacentral:rRNA from 1 species